GGGGGUGAUCGGUUUCGACGACGGUCGUCGAUCCAGGGGAAGCGGGUCGAGGAUGCAUGGUCAUCUCGUCAACGCUCCAUGCAAACCAAUAGGUGCCGAUUCCAAGCGCACCGACUUCGCACUCGCCGCCUGAGCGAGUCCCGAGGUCCGUCAGCCUGAGCUAGCUUCCGUCUCAGAUCCUGGCGUCAUCUAGGAAGCCACUGGCUGCAGCCCAGGUCACUGGGGCUGCCGCGACAUCUCAGAGUGACUGAGCCUGUCAGCGACUCGUCUGCGUGAUCGCUGGGGCCGAGAAAAUCGUCAGCAGACUGCACCCGGAGAAGCCCUGUUUCACUGCCGUCGGACGCGGGUUCGAUUCCCGCCACCUCCACAU
rnacentral:tmRNA from 1 species